UCUAUUCUUUAAUCAGAUUUGUUUCCUUAUAGAAUCUUAAAAGUCCUUUGUUCAGAUUGAAUAAUAAUCUUUAUCAGAUUUUUUUUUUUUUUUUGCAAAUAUUUUCUGCAAGACUGUGGCUUGUCUUCUCAAUCUCUUGACAGUAUCUGUUGCAGGGCAGAAGGUUUUGAAUCUUACUGAAGUCCAGCUCUUUCAUGAAUCGUGCCUUUAGUGGAGCUCCAUAGUAGACCUUUUCUGUUGGCUCUGCACUGAGGAAGGUGUAACCCCUGCCACAGUGUCUUCACCUGUAACAUCAGGACAAUAAUGAUGCCAUGAGGUGGACGUGAGGACCAGAGUUGACACAGUAAUGACGUAUCAGUGAUGACUUGGUGCCUUUGACCUUUGACCUUUGGCCUGUCUCCUUUGCUCCCUCUCUGGUCUCCUGGAAUGCUGGAAUCCGGUCCCUACCGUUUUUUGGUCUGUGUGGCCUUGACGUUGCUGCGUAUCAUGUCUCCUCAUCAGAGUGACCUUGAAUCUGACCUGUGGCUCUCUUGCUCCAAGGACCUCUGUGUGCCACUGUCUCGUCUGUCCAACCUCUUCCCAGAGCAGCCUCAGCACGUGCUGGAGCAGCCAUGCAAAGGAGGCUGGAGUUGAUGGAGCUCCCACCAAGUGGCCAGGGCUUUUGAUUCUCAUGUCCUUGCAUUUUAUUCACUGCUGAUCCCAGAGCCCAGAAUGGUGCCCAGCACGUAGCUGGUGUCCAACAAGUAUUUGCCAGAUGCACAAUGAGUGAGUGAGAACAAUGAAAGACGCGUCCCCAAACCGUUAAAGCCUGGUCCGUGGGAACGAUUUUGGAAGACCUGAGUUUUCCCAACUCCAUCCUGGAAACCUCUGUUCCAGCUUCCCGCUCUGGGGCAUCCAGGUGUCUCUCCAGUAGCAGGGGUUUCCCAGCCACUGUGAUGGUGAAAUACAGCCGCUCUGCUUCACAGCGGGGAUGUGUGCUGAGACCUGCGUCACGAGGUGGUCCAUCACGAUGAAAACACUGAGGGUUGGAGAAGUUAAGAUUGGAGCCCAGGAUCCUCGGACAAUGAAUGGUGGUGCUGAGAUUCGAGCCAGCUCCAAGAAACCCCGAGAGUCCACAGUCACCCAAGCCCCACCCUCCAGCAGCUCCUCGAAGAUGGGGACCCUUCAGUGCCCAGGGCCCACAAACCAGGGCUCCUAUGCUCCUGCCUGUGGGUUCAAAGAAAAUAACCCCAGCCUAAAAUAGGUGAAAACAUAAAAGCAAAAGGCACCCAGUUAAUGAUGCAGGUUAACCAUGCAUCUGUAAGGCAAAAGCAAAUCCAAAAUGUUACAAAGUCCAAAGCUCUUUAAGUGCUGACCAGAUGCCACAGGUUCAGAGGCCACACCUUGAAAGUCCCAGUCAUCCACAAAAUUAUUAACAACCAUGUAUAAAAUCACCUUUGGUCCACGUGUAUGAGGCAUCCA